rnacentral:rRNA from 1 species
UACGUAGGUGGCAAGCGUUGUCCGGAUUUACUGGGCGUAAAGAGCGCGCAGGCGGUCGUUCAAGUCGCGUGUGAAAGCCCCCGGCUCAACUGGGGAGGGUCACGCGAUACUGAUCGACUCGAAGGCAGGAGAGGGUAGUGGAAUUCCCGGUGUAGUGGUGAAAUGCGCAGAUAUCAGGAGGAACACCAAUGGCGAAGGCAGCUCGCUGGGACGGUACUGACGCUGAGGCGCGAAAGCGUGGGGAGCAAACAGG